rnacentral:rRNA from 1 species
UACGGAGGGUGCAAGCGUUGUCCGGAUUUAUUGGGUUUAAAGGGUGCGUAGGUGGCCCUAUAAGUCAGUGGUGAAAGCCUGCAGCUUAACUGUAGGAUUGCCAUUGAUACUGUAGGGCUUGAGUGCUGAUGAGGUAGGCGGAAUUGAUAGUGUAGCGGUGAAAUGCAUAGAUAUUAUCAAGAACACCGAUUGCGAAGGCAGCUUACUAAGGAGUUACUGACACUGAGGCACGAAAGCGUGGGGAUCAAACAGG